AGGAAUAUUGGUCAAUGGGCGAGAGCCUGAACCAGCCAAGUAGCGUGAAGGAUGACUGCCCUAUGGGUUGUAAACUUCUUUUAUAAAGGAAUAAAGUCGGGUAUGGAUACCCGUUUGCAUGUACUUUAUGAAUAAGGAUCGGCUAACUCCGUGCCAGCAGCCGCGGUAAUACGGAGGAUCCGAGCGUUAUCCGGAUUUAUUGGGUUUAAAGGGAGCGUAGAUGGAUGUUUAAGUCAGUUGUGAAAGUUUGCGGCUCAACCGUAAAAUUGCAGUUGAUACUGGAUAUCUUGAGUGCAGUUGAGGCAGGCGGAAUUCGUGGUGUAGCGGUGAAAUGCUUAGAUAUCACGAAGAACUCCGAUUGCGAAGGCAGCCUGCUAAGCUGCAACUGACAUUGAGGCUCGAAAGUGUGGGUAUCAAACAGGAUUAGAUACCCUGGUAGUCCACACGGUAAACGAUGAAUACUCGCUGUUUGCGAUAUACUGCAAGCGGCCAAGCGAAAGCGUUAAGUAUUCCACCUGGGGAGUACGCCGGCAACGGUGAAACUCAAAGGAAUUGACGGGGGCCCGCACAAGCGGAGGAACAUGUGGUUUAAUUCGAUGAUACGCGAGGAACCUUACCCGGGCUUAAAUUGCAGAUGGAUUACGGUGAAAGCCGUAAGCCGCAAAGCAUCUGUGAAGGUGCUGCAUGGUUGUCGUCAGCUCGUGCCGUGAGGUGUCGGCUUAAGUGCCAUAACGAGCGCAACCCUUGUUGUCAGUUACUAACAGGUUCCGCUGAGGACUCUGACAAGACUGCCAUCGUAAGAUGUGAGGAAGGUGGGGAUGACGUCAAAUCAGCACGGCCCUUACGUCCGGGGCUACACACGUGUUACAAUGGGGGGUACAGAGGGCCGCUACCACGCGAGUGGAUGCCAAUCCCCAAAACCUCUCUCAGUUCGGACUGGAGUCUGCAACCCGACUCCACGAAGCUGGAUUCGCUAGUAAUCGCGCAUCAGCCACGGCGCGGUGAAUACGUUCCCG
rnacentral:rRNA from 1 species